rnacentral:rRNA from 1 species
UACAGAGGUCCCAAGCGUUGUUCGGAUUCACUGGGCGUAAAGGGUGCGUAGGUGGCGAGGAAAGUCUGAUGUGAAAUCUCCGGGCUUAACCCGGAAAUGGCAUCGGAUACUGCCUUGCUCGAGGGUUGGAGGGGGGACUGGAAUACUUGGUGUAGCAGUGAAAUGCGUAGAUAUCAAGUGGAACACCAGUGGCGAAGGCGAGUCCCUGGACAACUCCUGACACUGAGGCACGAAAGCUAGGGGAGCAAACAGG